rnacentral:tRNA from 1 species
GGAGAGAUGGCAGAGUGGUCGAUUGCACCGGUCUUGAAAACCGGCGUACGAGAGUACCGGGAGUUCGAAUCUCUCUCUCUCCG